AACGAACGCUGGCGGCAGGCUUAACACAUGCAAGUCGAACGGUUGUAGCAAUACAGCAGUGGCAGACGGGUGAGUAACACGUGGGAACCUUCCUAGGGGUACGGAACAACUCAGGGAGACUUGAGCUAAUACCGUAUACGUCCGUGAGGAGAAAGAUUUAUCGCCCCUAGACGGGCCCGCGUAGGAUUAGGUAGUUGGUGAGGUAACGGCUCACCAAGCCUACGAUCCUUAGCUGAACGGAGAUGAUGAUCAGCCAAACUGGGACUGAGACACGGCCCAGACUCCUACGGGAGGCAGCAGUGGGGAAUCUUGGACAAUGGGCGCAAGCCUGAUCCAGCCAUGCCGCGUGAGUGAAGAAGGCCUUCGGGUUGUAAAGCUCUUUGACCAGGGACGAUAAUGACGGUACCUGGAGAAUAAGCCCCGGCAAACUUCGUGCCAGCCGCCGCGGUAA
rnacentral:rRNA from 1 species